UACGUAGGUAGCGAGCGUUAUUCGGAUUUACUGGGCGUAAAGGGUCCGCAGGAGGCCUGCCAAGUCUGAUGUGAAAUCCCACGGCUCAACUGUGGAACUGCAUCGGAAACUGGCGGGCUCGAGUGCACGAGGGGAAAGCGGAAUUCCAGGUGUAGCGGUGGAAUGCGUAGAUAUCUGGAGGAACACCGAUGGCGAAAGCGGCUUUCUGGCGUGCAACUGACUCUCAUGGACGAAAGUGUGGGGAGCAAACAGG
rnacentral:rRNA from 1 species